AAACCGCUUAGAGGCAAACGGGUGGAUCCGCAAAGUCGGCCCGGGGAAUUCAACUUGCCGCUUGGGCUGCGGACGUUGGGUCAGGGAUCCGUAAAGACCCGCCUGGCGUUCGGCAGUCGUCGGCGAGUGCACUUUCCUCGGGUAGAGCGCCACGACCGGUUUCGGAGCGGUCAUAAGCCGGCUGGGAAGGUGACUUCCUUUUCGGAGGAAGUGUUAUAGCCCGGCCAGGUCGGCUCGUUCCGAGACCGAGGAUUUGCCGCGUCUCACUGCCCUCGGCUCUCUUGGUGCGUUCGACUGGGGAAGCACUGCUUGCAGUUCUCUCCGACUGCGUGCCUUGAUCGGUCGGGAAGCACGAGGCGCUACGGGUCAGUGGCGAAUCGGUCGGUCCUCCACCCGACCCGUCUUGAAACACGGACCAAGGAGUCUAACAUGUGCGCAAGUCAUGGGGUUCUGUACGAAACCUAAAGGCACAAUGAAAGUGAAGGUCAACCUCCGGUCGGCCUAGGUAGGAUUCCCGCGAGGGGCGCACUACCGGCCCGUCUCAACCACGUCGUUGGUGGGGCGGAGCAAGAGCGUACACGUUGGGACCCGAAAGAUGGUGAACUAUGCCUGAGUAGGACGAAGCCAGAGGAAACUCUGGUGGAGGUCCGUAGCGAUUCUGACGUGCAAAUCGAUCGUCAAACUUGGGUAUAGGGGCGAAAGACUAAUCGAACCAUCUAGUAGCUGGUUCCCUC
rnacentral:rRNA from 1 species